rnacentral:rRNA from 1 species
UACGAAGGGGGCUAGCGUUGCUCGGAAUGACUGGGCGUAAAGGGCGCGUAGGCGGAUGGCACAGUCAGAUGUGAAAUUCCCGGGCUUAACCUGGGGGCUGCAUUUGAUACGUGUGAUCUAGAGUGAGGAAGAGGGUCGUGGAAUUCCCAGUGUAGAGGUGAAAUGCGUAGAUAUUGGGAGGAACACCGGUGGCGAAGGCGGCCCCCUGGACCGGUACUGACGCUGAGGCGCGAAAGCGUGGGUAGCAAACGGG